AUAGAUAGAUAGAUAGAUAGAUAGAUAGAUAGAUAGAUAGAUAGAUUUACACACAUGUAGUACCAAAAUAGGUUAGAAUUUUGAUUCUAUUUUCCACUGUUUUGUCAUUGUUUCAAUAUUAUAUUAACCCAUUAAAAGUAGAAAAUCGGUAUAGUUUUGCAUACUUACUAAACUUCAGAUCAUCCUAAUAUGAAGCAGAGCUUAAGGUCUCUAGUUAUGCUUAUCAAAGUCGUAUCUUAAAUUCGGGCACAACUUCAAUAAGUUCAAAUAUAGCACCAGUAGGCUUUCAUGUUUCCUGAUUUCUUUUAAAAACAGAUCAUGUCUUAUAUUGGACAAAGUAUGGGUUUAUUUCUAAAGAGCAAAUACUAUGUGGUUAACAGCUUUAUAAUUCCACCAAGCCUAUCACCAAGACAAACAUAGCACAGCAGAAAAUUAUUUAACGCAAAUAUGUUAACUGAAAUAACGUAAGCAAUAAUAACUGACUUCAUGAGCAUACCAUUGGCUGUCAAUCAAUCCCCCAUUAUUACAUUAACUCAGUAGUCAAAUAUAUUAACUGUGUAGUCAAAUCAAGUGAGUGAAUUAACCCUUCGGCUUAAGGAUUAAUUCACACAGGGAGUGAAUUAACCCUUCGGCUUAAGGGUUAAUUUACUAUGGAAAGGCAGACUUUUUAGAAUAUUAUCAGAUUAUUCUUAUAAUAAUUAAACAUAUUUAAUGCUUUGGAAUCAUAUGUCUCAUAAUUAUGUUUUUAUUGUCUUUUCAGAUGAUUACAAGUGUGGAUAGA